GACGAACGCUGGCGGCGUGCCCAAUACAUGCAAGUAGAACGCACAGUUUAUACCGUAGCUUGCUACACUAUAGACUGUGAGUUGCGAACGGGUGAGUAACGCGUAGGUAACCUGCCUGGUAGCGGGGGAUAACUAUUGGAAACGAUAGCUAAUACCGCAUAAUAUUGAUUAUUGCAUGAUAAUUGAUUGAAAGAUGCUAUUGCAUCACUACCAGAUGGACCUGCGUUGUAUUAGCUAGUAGGUGAGGUAACGGCUCACCUAGGCGACGAUACAUAGCCGACCUGAGAGGGUGAUCGGCCACACUGGGACUGAGACACGGCCCAGACUCCUACGGGAGGCAGCAGUAGGGAAUCUUCGGCAAUGGACGAAAGUCUGACCGAGCAACGCCGCGUGAGUGAAGAAGGUUUUCGGAUCGUAAAGCUCUGUUGUAAGAGAAGAACGGGUGUGAGAGUGGAAAGUUCACACUGUGACGGUAUCUUACCAGAAAGGGACGGCUAACUACGUG
rnacentral:rRNA from 1 species